rnacentral:lncRNA from 1 species
CAAUGAUCUGGCAAGAGUAGUGCCAUCUCCCACCAGAAUAAUUGAGAAGGUCAUGCCUUCCUUAUCCCCAGGCUGGGUUCACAACACAAGUCAGUCCUCCAGCAAGCAGUUUCCACUUUAAUACAGUUCAGAAGCCAGCCGUGAGAUGGACAGCAGUAGUGACUCCUCAGAUAACUUGGGCAAUGACCAAGAGUUUCAUGCAAGGCAGUUGUAUUACUCGGCCAACUCUGAUUUUUUUCAUCAAAUGCUGGCUUCCAGUGUAACCCAGACUGGUGUUCUUGAGGCCGGUAAAACCAGUGACACCUUGGAAACAUUCAGUCCUUGUCUGCUCCCUGCCUCAGAUUCUCAGAUGAGACCAGAAGCUACAACAUACAAAAGCAUAGACCAGAGCCCAGGGCAGCAGGACCAAGUGAUGAGGCAACAGAUGGAGCAGCUACAAAGGCUGGUGGCUGAACAGCAGAAAAUCAUUGCAUUUUGCAACCCAGGAGAAAUAUGAGGAGGAGUCUUUCAUGUUUAAUAACCCACCUUCGUGUAAAGACAUCUGUUGAAGUAUAGAUUUGAAUGGUACUGCAGAAAGCUUUAAUAUAGUGGUGAGUAUUACAGAAAAGCUGGAGAGGAAAAAAAGUCAACAAGCCAUGCUUCUAUUAAGAGACUCUUAACAUGAAUAAUACAGCCUACUCCGCCCAGCAUGAUACAACUUGUUGAACAGCUUCAUCUUUACAAGUGGCAUUGCCAGAAAACAGCAUCUGCUCAGCAAGUAGCAAAGAGGGAGACCACCCUUCCACCCUGCUCUCAGCAGUAGCAUGUUUUCCUUGGGGUGGACUCCAUGGAGAAAGAGGACUUUUGGGAGAUCAUCUGGAGUUGCCGAAGGAUUAUAUAUGGCUUUAGCAGGGGUGCUGUGCCUAGCAACAAGCAGGGAACAUGGACCAGGGCACAGGAAGGCCAGAUCAUCUGUGGCUUGCUGCUGUCCUCAGAUAUCCUGCCAGAGGAGGCAGCUUUAUGUAAUGGGCAGGAUGUGGUAGGAGCCUGAUGAGCCUAGGACAUGCUCUGCAGGCAUCUGUGCAUUGAGCUGGCCUCAGUUUUCUCUCUCUAAUUUCGAGCUGCUUUGCCCAGUCAGGGUCCUGCAAGGGUCUCCUUCUACUAAGAUCCCUCUAUGCACAUAAAA